ACAUAAUUCUUCAAGAUUCACAGGAAGCUAAAACAGCCGCCCAAGGAACAGAUGUUUGCAUUGAUACAUCGUGACGUGGACAGUUACAGAUGGUUUCCACAAAGUGGCUUUGGACUUAACAUCUUGGGUUGUAGGAGUUUGUCAGUGAGUAAGAACCAUGCCAGGUGGUCUGGAGAAGGCGUGUCAUCGGUGCAUUUCUAAAAUUGCCAGCAAUGG